rnacentral:rRNA from 1 species
GACAGAGGUGCCAAGCGUUAGGCAGAAUCACUGGGCUUAAAGCGUGUGUAGGCGGAUCGUUAAGUACCUUGUGAAAUCCCACGGCUCAACCGUGGAACUGCUGGGUAUACUGGCGGUCUUGAGCCACCUAGGGGCAACUGGAACAAGCGGUGGAGCGGUGAAAUGCGUAGAUAUCGCUUGGAACGCCAACGGUGAAAACAGGUUGCUGGGGGUGUGCUGACGCUGAGACACGAAAGCCAGGGGAGCGAACGGG